UCUUCGGUGGGCCCUUGGGUCUGUUGAAAUUUUCUUGAGCAGACAUUGUCCUAUUUGGUAUGGCUAUGGGGGUGGAUUGAAUUGGUUGGAACGAUUUUCCUACAUAAAUUCAGUUGUAUAUCCUUGGACAUCCAUUCCCCUGCUUGUUUACUGUACCCUACCAGCUAUCUGCCUUCUCACUGGGAAAUUUAUUGUGCCUGAGGUAAUACACGUCUCUUAGAUUGUUAUUCAUUUUAAAAAAUUUGUAGAUACUGAUUUUUGGAAUGAUCUUUUUUCUUCAUGGAUUUCUGAAAGGGAAAGUGAUAUGAACUAUUUUCCCACUUGAUUUUGUGCUUUUAAGCAUUGCAAACUAAACCGUGCAUAUCUGUAUGGGUGCUAUUAUGUGGAUUGAUUAAUGUGUUUCGUGGACUUGUUACAUUAAUUUAGGUUAAUUGUAGCCUAUUGUUCAUCAACAUACAAAUCUUUUUUGGAAGAUUCAAAAAGCAUGUAUUAUUAUGAGCAAACAAUUUAUUUUUAUGAAGGUUAUUUUGAUAAACUGCUGAUUAGGUCCCUUCAUAUGUGGUUGUUCUAAGAGCCUGAAAGGCCGACUCUUUCAUUCGUACUACUUGGCUAUCUAGCCUUUUUGCUUAACUUACUCAGGGUUUUUGUGUUAAUACAGAUUAGCAACUAUGCCAGUAUUGUAUUCAUGGCACUCUUCAUAUCUAUAGCUGC
rnacentral:misc_RNA from 1 species